UGAGUAACACGUGGGCAAUCUGCCCUGCACUUCGGGAUAAGCCUGGGAAACUGGGUCUAAUACCGGAUAGGACCUUUAGACGCAUGUCUUUUGGUGGAAAGCUUUUGCGGUGUGGGAUGGGCCCGCGGCCUAUCAGCUUGUUGGUGGGGUGAUGGCCUACCAAGGCGACGACGGGUAGCCGGCCUGAGAGGGUGUCCGGCCACACUGGGACUGAGAUACGGCCCAGACUCCUACGGGAGGCAGCAGUGGGGAAUAUUGCACAAUGGGCGCAAGCCUGAUGCAGCGACGCCGCGUGGGGGAUGACGGCCUUCGGGUUGUAAACCUCUUUCACCAUCGACGAAGGUUCGGGUUUUCUCGGAUUGACGGUAGGUGGAGAAGAAGCACCGGCCAACUACGUGCCAGCAGCCGCGGUAAUACGUAGGGUGCGAGCGUUGUCCGGAAUUACUGGGCGUAAAGAGCUCGUAGGUGGUUUGUCGCGUUGUUCGUGAAAUCUCACGGCUUAACUGUGAGCGUGCGGGCGAUACGGGCAGACUAGAGUACUGCAGGGGAGACUGGAAUUCCUGGUGUAGCGGUGGAAUGCGCAGAUAUCAGGAGGAACACCGGUGGCGAAGGCGGGUCUCUGGGCAGUAACUGACGCUGAGGAGCGAAAGCGUGGGGAGCGAACAGGAUUAGAUACCCUGGUAGUCCACGCCGUAAACGGUGGGUACUAGGUGUGGGUUUCCUUCCUUGGGAUCCGUGCCGUAGCUAACGCAUUAAGUACCCCGCCUGGGGAGUACGGCCGCAAGGCUAAAACUCAAAAGGAAUUGACGGGGGGCCCGCACAA
rnacentral:rRNA from 1 species